CCCUUAGAUGUUCUGGGCCGCACGCGUGCUACACUGAGUGGAUCAGCGGGUCAGGUUGCGCGAAAGUGUUUCCUAAUCUUUAAAUCCGCUCGUGAUGGGGAUUGACGGUUGCAAUUUUCCGUCAUGAACGAGGAAUACCUUGUAAGCGCGGGUCAUCAUCUCGCGCUGAAUACGUCCCUGCCCUUUGUACACACCGCCCGUCGCUCCUACCGAUUGAGUGGUCCGGUGAGGCUUUGGGAUCUGAGCGGAAAGAGCGUUUCGCUGUUUCUGCCCGGAAAACUCAGUCGAACCUUAUCAUUUAGAGGAAGGAGAAGUCGUAACA
rnacentral:rRNA from 1 species